UGCUUUCAGCAGAACAUUCUGAAGCGUUGAAGACUGACUGGGUGCCGCCAGUCUGAGCCCGGUGUUAUUUAUAUCCUCCGCGUCUGGUACAAGUGAUAAAUCUGCAAAGACAGUGAGGAUCAUCCCAUCCGGCCACCUUUAAUUCUGAACUGCUGUCUCUGCUUUACAAUGGGCUUUGACAUAGAAGAGCUGCGAUAGAGCUGCAUUACAGACUCUGGAAUUUACUCCUUCCCAGGUUACCAGAUGGUGCAUGAGGAGCCCAUCACCCUGCUGUCCCCUGGGAUGAGGUGGCCUGCAGCAGUGGUCAGUGUCCAGUGUCUGAGCCAUCUCCCAGCACGUGUGUCCCUGAGCAGCCAUGGUCAUUUGCUUCUGCACUGUCAGAUGAUUCUCUGCCACCCCUGGCAAGACCUGCCUGCCCUCCCUUGCUGCUCUCCAGAUAAACAGUUUAUAGUCUAAGAGGUUAAUCACGGGCAGCACUGACAUCUUUACCUUGAUCUUUAGCUUGAUGCACUCACAACAGUGAUGGCAUCAGCUGAGUCUGGAAAACAUUCUUGUAUGAAUUGCGAUAGAAAAAUUAGCCAUGGAAAAUAUUUCUACAGAUUUAAUGAUCGUCUUAUUGAGAUGUUUAUGAAAACAAUCUCAAACCGUUACUGAAACACUUGGCGCCCAUUUGUCAUUAAUAGCAUCUAGUUUAUUGCAAGUAAAAAAAUACCCCAGAAUUUGAGUGAGAAAAUUUUUUCUAGAACCUUUAGUAAAAUGUCUUAUGAAUAUUGCUGAGUUUCAUCAGUGAAAGCUCAAUGCUUCCUGGCCACCCCUCAGGCUAGCGUGGGAAACCAGCAAUGAAGCAUCAGCUGAAAUGGGGGUACCUGACUGGUGCUACAUGCUGAGGGAAGCUGAUGAGCAGUGCUCGGGCUCUCCUCUCCUCUGACUCGAACUGGGGUUUUUCUAAUUCACACAUAAAGUUGCAGUGAAGGGUUGAACAGACAGUUACCUCUCUCUAAUUCCUCUGCAUCAUAAGUGUAU